AGGACGAACGCUGGCGGCGUGCCUAACACAUGCAAGUCGAACGGGACCAGGGGCAACUCUGGUUCAGUGGCGGACGGGUGCGUAACACGUGAGGAACAUGACCUUCGGCGGGGGAUAGCCGGCCCAACGGCCGGGUAAUACCGCGUACGACCACUUUGGGACAUCCCUGGGUGGUGAAAGCAGCAAUGCGCCGAUGGAGUGCCUCGCGGCCUAUCAGCUAGUGGUGAGGUACGCUCACAAGGCGACGACGGGUA
rnacentral:rRNA from 1 species